AAAUUGAAGAGUUUGAUCAUGGCUCAGAUUGAACGCUGGCGGCAGGCCUAACACAUGCAAGUCGAACGGUAGCACAGAGGAGCUUGCUCCUUGGGUGACGAGUGGCGGACGGGUGAGUAAUGUCUGGGAAACUGCCCGAUGGAGGGGGAUAACUACUGGAAACGGUAGCUAAUACCGCAUAACGUCGCAAGACCAAAGAGGGGGACCUUCGGGCCUCUUGCCAUCGGAUGUGCCCAGAUGGGAUUAGCUAGUAGGUGGGGUAACGGCUCACCUAGGCGACGAUCCCUAGCUGGUCUGAGAGGAUGACCAGCCACACUGGAACUGAGACACGGUCCAGACUCCUACGGGAGGCAGCAGUGGGGAAUAUUGCACAAUGGGCGCAAGCCUGAUGCAGCCAUGCCGCGUGUAUGAAGAAGGCCUUCGGGUUGUAAAGUACUUUCAGCGAGGAGGAAGGCGUUGUGGUUAAUAACCGCAA
rnacentral:rRNA from 1 species